rnacentral:tRNA from 1 species
CCCCCAUAGCCCAAUUGGCAGAGGCAACGGACUUAAAAUCCGUCAAGUGUCGGUUCGAGUCCGACUGGGGGCACCAA